UCAUCUGGCCCGUUUGCGGUAGACCGCGC
rnacentral:sRNA from 1 species